rnacentral:rRNA from 1 species
AGUGAACGCUGGCGGUAGGCCUAACACAUGCAAGUCGAACGGCAGCACAGUAAGAGCUUGCUCUUACGGGUGGCGAGUGGCGGACGGGUGAGGAAUACAUCGGAAUCUACUUUUUCGUGGGGGAUAACGUAGGGAAACUUACGCUAAUACCGCAUACGACCUACGGGUGAAAGCAGGGGAUCUUCGGACCUUGCGCGAUUGAAUGAGCCGAUGUCGGAUUAGCUAGUUGGCGGGGUAAAGGCCCACCAAGGCGACGAUCCGUAGCUGGUCUGAGAGGAUGAUCAGCCACAUUGGAACUGGGACACGGUCCAGACUCCUACGGGAGGCAGCAGUGGGGAAUAUUGGACAAUGGGCGCAAGCCUGAUCCAGCCAUACCGCGUGGGUGAAGAAGGCCUUCGGGUUGUAAAGCCCUUUUGUUGGGAAAGAAAAGCAGCAGGUUAAUACCCCGCUGUUCUGACGGUACCCAAAGAAUAAGCACCGGCUAACUUCGUG